rnacentral:rRNA from 1 species
GACGAACCGUGCAAACGUUGUUCGGAAUCACUGGCUUAAAGGGCGCGUAGGCGGCUUGCCAAGUCAGGGGUGAAAUCUUUCGGCUUAACCGGAAAAGUGCCUUUGAUACUGGCAGGCUUGAGGGAGGUAGGGGCAUGUGGAACUUCCGGUGGAGCGGUGAAAUGCGUUGAUAUCGGAAGGAACGCCGGUGGCGAAAGCGACGUGCUGGACCUCUCUGACGCUGAGGCGCGAAAGCUAGGGGAGCGAACGGG